rnacentral:rRNA from 1 species
UACGGAGGGUGCAAGCGUUAUCCGGAUUUACUGGGUUUAAAGGGUGCGUAGGCGGAUUUGUAAGUCCGAGGUGAAAUCUCCGAGCUUAACUCGGAAACUGCCUUGGAUACUAUAAGUCUUGAAUGACGUUGAGGUUAGCGGAAUAUGUCAUGUAGCGGUGAAAUGCGUAGAGAUCGGGAGGAACAUCAGUGGCGAAGGCGGCCAUCUGGGACAACACUGACGCUGAAGCACGAAAGCGUGGGGAGCAAACAGG